AACGAACGCUGGCGGCAUGCCUAACACAUGCAAGUCGAACGAAGUCCUCGGACUUAGUGGCGCACGGGUGCGUAACGCGUGGGAAUCUGCCCUUGGGUACGGAAUAACUCAGAGAAAUUUGUGCUAAUACCGUAUAAUGUCUUCGGACCAAAGAUUUAUCGCCCAAGGAUGAGCCCGCGUAAGAUUAGCUAGUUGGUGGGGUAAAAGCCUACCAAGGCGACGAUCUUUAGCUGGUCUGAGAGGAUGAUCAGCCACACUGGGACUGAGACACGGCCCAGACUCCUACGGGAGGCAGCAGUGGGGAAUAUUGGACAAUGGGCGAAAGCCUGAUCCAGCAAUGCCGCGUGAGUGAUGAAGGCCCUAGGGUUGUAAAGCUCUUUUACCAGGGAUGAUAAUGACAGUACCUGGAGAAUAAGCUCCGGCUAACUCCGUG
rnacentral:rRNA from 1 species